rnacentral:lncRNA from 1 species
AACCCUGCAAUUGAGAAGAGCUAACAGGAUAGUCAAGAAGCGCCAUGAAGAUACUCAAAAUGUCACUCAUCAUGGUUGUGAUCGCGUAUGCAUUGAUACAAGCCAAUGCGAGCCAACUAAACUUGUACAAGGGAAAGUGGUGUACAGGAUCUUUUACUGUUGUAUGGGAUCGCCAAUGCGCUGAGAUACCCGGAGAUGCUGUUUCGUACAGGUUUUACUAUAAUCCGGAAUGGAAGGCCACAUUUUUCUCAGAUGCAGGUUGUGCAGGCGAAAGUAAAGAGGUUCUUGCCUCAAGCGAAAUGUGUGUUCAGGGUCUCGAAGGUAUUGGCAGCGUCUUGAUAUCGGAUGAGUCAUCCGAGAUAUCAAGACGCUGAAAAUGAGCUCUUGCCAGUUUCACUGACUCCUGGCAUAAAUAUAUAGCUUGCAAUGUCAUGAAUAAUAUCAUUUGGUGAUGAGUAGUAACAGCAAGGAUAAGGAUAAGAUGAUUUUGCCUCUGUUGCCGAGGAAUUCCAUAAUGCGUCUUCAUCAUCAGGAAUCUGCUCAAUGAGACAAGUGCUUAGUAAGUUUCAGUUAAAAAGAAGCACGCACCUGUGAGAAAUCUACAGCGGGAAAGUUUUGUUUGCAUUUUGUGAUGGAGCGAGCUCCUUUUGUCACAACGAUAGUUCGUCUAUAGGACAACAUAAUACUCUUGAAAAGUUCGACAAAUCUUCCGCCUCAAACUCAUGCUAUAGUCUAAUUCUGGCAUCUGCAUUUCAAUCAAUGGAAAAAGUGGAGCUGAGCCAGGAACUUAGACGACUAUGUAAAUAAGAUGAAUGAAUGUGUACAUGUAACGGUACCUUAGAACCAAAGAAUAUGACGUAUUAACGUACUGUGCGUAACAGCGGCCCCUUUGGAGGGACGAGCUUCCACUUCCCAGACCCCAAGAAGCGAGCCAAAAACAAGCUCCCAAAACGAGAAAUGUUCGCGUCAAAAACGCCCUGUAAGAAACAAAACCGGCGGUCAGCAUCUGGAGAUGGAGAAACGGCAGACGUACCACAAACGCUUGAAUGGAACAGGGUCGAGCGC